rnacentral:rRNA from 1 species
AGGAAGAAAAUUCUAAGGCCAACGGGAGAAGGGUAGUUAAGGAACUCGGCAAGUUGACCCCGUAACUUAGGGAUAAGGGGUGCUCUCGAAAGAGAGCCGCAGAGAAUAGGCCCAGGCGACUGUUUAGCAAAAACACAGCUCUAUGCUAAAUCGAAAGAUGAUGUAUAUGGGGUGACACCUGCCCGGUGCCGGAAGGUUAAGAGGAGGAGUGAGAGCUCUGAAUUGAAGCCCCGGUAAACGGCGGCCGUAACGAUAACGGUCCUAAGGUAGCGAAAUUCCUUGUCAGGUAAGUUCUGACCCGCACGAAUGGUGUAACGAUCUGGGCACUGUCUCAACUACCCGCCCGGCGAAAUUGUAGUACCGGUGAAGAUGCCGGUUACCCGCGACUAGACGGAAAGACCCCAUGGAGCUUUACUGUAGCUUAAUGUUGAAUUUCGGUAUUUCAUGUACAGGAUAGGUGGGAGACUAAGAAGCAGGGGCGUCAGCUUCUGUGGAGUCAACCUUGGGAUACCACUCUUGAAGUGCUGGAAUUCUAACCUGCGGCCGUGAAUCCGGUCGGGGGACAUCGUUAGGUGGGCAGUUUGACUGGGGCGGUCGCCUCCCAAAGAGUAACGGAGGCGCUCAAAGGUUCGCUCAGCAUGGACGGAAACCAUGCUCUUGAGUGUAAACGCAAAAGCGAGCCUAACUGCGAGACUGACGGGUCGAGCAGUAACGAAAGUUGGAGUUAGUGAUCCGGCGGUAUGUGAGUGGAAAUGCCGUCGCUCAACGGAUAAAAGCUACCCUGGGGAUAACAGGCUGAUCUCCCCCAAGAGUCCACAUCGACGGGGAGGUUUGGCACCUCGAUGUCGGCUCAUCGCAUCCUGGGGCUGUAUUCGGUCCCAAGGGUUUGGCUGUUCGCCAAUUAAAGCGGUACGCGAGCUGGGUUCAGAACGUCGUGAGACAGUUCGGUCCCUAUCUGUCGUGGGCGUAGGAUAUUUGAAAGGAGCUGUCCCUAGUACGAGAGGACCGGGAUGGACGCACCUCUGGUGCACCAGUUGUCACGCCAGUGGCACAGCUGGGCAGCUAAGUGCGGAUCGGAUAAACGCUGAAGGCAUCUAAGCGUGAAGCCGUCCUUAAGAUAAGAUAUCCCAUCAGGUCAACUGAGUAAGACCCCUCAAAGACUAUGAGGUUGAUAGGCCUAAGGUGUACGCAUGGUGACAUGUUCAGCCUGCAGGUACUAAUCGGUCGAGGGCUUGACCGA